GGCACACUGGAAGCCAGGUGACUUCUUACCGAACACAGAUCAACCAACGUUUAGAACCAGAAGCUCAAAUCCGAUAUUACAAGAGCUAAGAGUUUGAAUCGCGGAUUCAAAAUAAAACACUAAUCGUUUCUAUCUCCUUACAGACAGACGAGACAGCAUGCCGUCUAACUGCGAUCCCUAGCGCUUCCUGCUCGGCGAGACUGGAGAACCGGACGGUGGAUUUGGACUGUGUAUCCGAGCCGAUCAGAAAAUGGUCAUCUUGGGUUCUCCUAAAGCCUUAUAGAGACAACAUAGCGAAGGAUAUAACCUACAGGAUUUUGUUCUUAACCAGUUUUCGAUUAAUUGUCUCUUGGAUACGAGAGUGAAACUGUUGCGCAAUGAAGUUGACGUGGUGGAUAGUCCAACUGCUCCUAUUGGCCAGCGGAAGUGUGUGUUCACUGGAGCGAGCCACACACAACCCAGAAAACAACGUCAUCUGUCCUCAGGCUCUAAACUGCAGGGUGAGAAAUACAGAUCCUAUCACACCACUUGAUGUGGUCUGUGGUUCUGUGUAUGUGUGUUCUCUGGCCGUGAAGCCAAAACUGUGCUGUCACAGGAAUGACUGCAAACCCUGUUUGUGGAUCAACAUCCAGCUGAGUAUUAUUCUAGAUCUCAAAGAGGAGGAGGACAGAGAUAUUGAGAGAUCACAAUAUGAAGAGGAGAGCAGUGGGGACUGGGAUUCGGGAUGUGUUUCCAUGCCAAACGACACAUCAGAAGGUCAAAGGGUAAGUGUUUUGAAUAUUCAUAACAAAAUGUAUUUUUAAAAACUCCAUCUUUAAUUAAAAUCUUUAACAUCUUAUACUUUUUAACAGGAAGACUACUCUCUCUGUGAAGGCCGGCUAGAUCAAGG
rnacentral:lncRNA from 1 species